rnacentral:misc_RNA from 1 species
CUGAUAUUCCAGUGUGUCAAAAUGCAGUUGAGUUGCAACCUUUAGAUAUUUAAUUGUUUAAAAAUUAGAUAUUAUUGGAUAAUUGAGGAAUAGUCGUUAAUGCUUUUAAUUGGUUAGAUUUCUUUGUAAUGUUCUUUCUAUAAAAUAUAUAAUGUUCUGAUAGAAAUAUCAUGAGCAAACAAAAUGUAAAUAAAGAACAUUCUAGAUAACUUUAUAGAGAAAUAGUAAUUUAUAUACUUAAUUAAUAUGCGUAAAGCAAAUAAAUAAUUUGUGUGAACAGAUAUAUAUUUGUGAUUAGAGAGAAGGAAAAUAUAUAUAAUAAGCAAUAGCAUCAAUUUUGCUUAUAAAUAAUAAAAUGGAAAUGAAUCUAAACGUUGAUUUAACAGAAAAUAAUAUUUCUCGUAGAAAGAAUGUUCACGAAUGGACAUGGGAUGAUAAAUACAUAUCAGAAACGGCAGAACUAUCAAAGUAUAACUUAGAAGUUAGAUUUCAUCCAAAAUUUAGUAUUGGUACAGCUUAUGUUAGAGGUAAUAUGUCCUUGCAAAAAGGAAGACAUCACUAUUGGGAAAUUAAAAUGAUUACGCCAGUAUAUGGGACAGAUGUAAUGAUCGGUGUAGGAACAAGUAAAGUUGAUCUAACAGGUUUAAAAGAAACAUUUUGUUCGUUACUUGGACGAGACGAAGAAUCUUGGGGUUUUUCGUAUAAAGGUUACAUACAACAUGCCGGUGAAAGCAGGGUUUAUACUGGUCGUUUCCGUAAAGGAAGUUUAGUAGGUGUACAUUUUGAUAGUUGGAAAGGAACAAUACAAUAUUUCUUAAAUAGAAAACCUUUAGGUAUUGCAUUUACCGGAUUACAAAAUACAACUCUUUAUCCUAUGGUUUGUUCAACAGCUGCUAAUAGUAAAGUUAAAAUAAAACUUUGUUCCUCAGUUCCUGUAUCUUUACAAAUGGAAUGUUUAUCUGUACUACAACCUGUACAGAAAUUAUAUCUUUCUAACGCUUUUCCUGGAUUAAGAUAUUUAUUGACAAGUAUCUUCGUUGAUAUCUUGCAUAAGCAAUAUGGUUAAUUAAAAUUUUAUUUAAUAUACAUAUAAUGCAUAAAUAUAUACAGGAUGUCUGAGGUUCUUCUGGCUGAGCUGUGUUAGUGUAUUCUAUGCAGACAAAAAUCUCUGACAACCUGUAUAUUAACAGAGUGAUAAGAAAAAAAGGUGAUCAUAACGAUGAUGACGAUGAGGAUAACGAUAACGAUAAUACUAGUAGUGAUGAACUUUUUGAAUUUUUACCCGAA